rnacentral:lncRNA from 1 species
CCUGGAGAAGGCAGGGUAGAGGGGGGCCCUGGAGAAGGCAGGGUAGAGGCGGGCCCUGGAGAAGGGUGCGGCUCCCUAGGGAGAGCAUUGGGUGGCGCAGGAGUCGAGGAGCAAAAACCAACCCACCCAUGACUCACAGGGCCCUGGAAGCAGAACGAGGCGCCCCAACCCAGACACUUGGGCUGCAUUGGAGAGGACAGAGUUGCCGUCCUGACCUGCUGUGAGCAGUGUGGCUGUGGCAAGAGACAGAUCAGCUCUGGGGGGAAGCCUCAAGCGAUGAAGCCAGGACACAGUGCAGAACGGCUGUUUGAUGGGGAUGGGGAGACUGGGAGCAGCUGUGCGGAAGUGCAGAGGAAAAAGGAGCUCAGCCUGCCCUCAGGAAGCUCCGGAUUCAUGGGAGGAAGGUGCUAUCCAUGUCACCAGUGCUGUGUAGGCUGCCGUGGAAGAGAAGAUUCACUCGGGAGACCCCUGGACAUCCUGGGAAGAAAGCAGGACACUCUGUGUAACCAGAAGCCUUGGACCCACUACCCACUGCCAUGGAUCCUCGAACAGGCCUUUUGCCCUCUCGAGAAUUAGCUUCUCUGAGCCUUUUUUGGUCCUGCCAGGGCCCCAAGCAUUGUUGGGAAAUUGGGGAGUCCCUUGGCUCUGCGAUGAGUCAUUGGCGCUGGCAGAGAGAAGCCUUCCCAUUUGCAUUCACGCAAAUGAAGUGGGGAAAUCCUAGGUUUGGAAACUUAGACCGUGAGCGCUUCUCUUUUCCAAGUUUCCUAUAACCCAUAGAAGUCAGGGCUUAAAUCAGAAGAGCUUCCUGACUUUGCCCUUAUUAUGAUCCUGAAUAGAUACUGCCCUCUGCAUGUUAGUUUCCUCAUCUGUAAAACAGACUCACAUGCUAAUUGUGAGGCUCACCUGAAGUGAGAGGGGUGAAAGGUGUCUGUAAACUUGAAAGUCCUAUGCAGAUGGUGCUGCUAGGAGGGUGACAGCAUGAGCCUGGUUACUGUCAUCCCUCAGACCUAUGGCUUCUCCUGGAGCCUCACCACCACUAGGUCAUAGCUGGAGGCUGCCUGGGUUCAUCUUGUGACAUCACAGCGGACACACAAGCCCGGGCAGAAAAAUGAAAAUGCUCUAUAGAUGCUCCCGAAAUGUGGUCCCUACGUGUUGCCAUGACCAGAGAACUUUCUGGAAACAGCACCCAAGGCAUUGGGUAGCUUUUCUUUCCCAUAAAUAGCAUCUCCUGCUGUGUGGCCCAGAGUCUCCCGAGAAUCUCUGCUGCCCAGAUCCCCCUUCCAGCUCCUCCUGUCAGUUGGGGGGCAGGCUUGGCAAUGCUGGAGAACAACUGGCACCUGCAGACAUCAGCAACGGCUCGGUCUGAGGUGCACUCUGGCUUGGUGCAAAUGAGCCCAGCCCCUGGGCUCCUAAUAUGGCUUCUCCAGCCUUCUUUCCAGGAGGCUGGCUCAUUUCUCAGUCUCAAUCCUGGAAUGACAGAAGGUUCUCUCCUCUAAAAACCCACUUUUCUAGGCACUCUAUGUUGAAAUCUCAAACUCCUGGACACAAUCCAAAGGUGAAGCUUCCUGAUACACCUGCCCCUCCCAUUUUGAACACAGCAUUCCAGCCUCUUGGCAGCUUGGGAUUGGUUCGUAGCUGCAUUGCGGCACUUUCCUCCUCUGGCCAGGUGUCAUUGCCAUCUGGGCAUGUGGUCAUCUCCUGUACAUGACUGUGACCCCUACAGGAUAAGGAGCCUCUCCCUCUUCCUGCACCUUCCACAGUGAACCAAGCACUGUGUGGGAUGAGAGACUCAGGCUUUGAGACUCACUCAAUACUCGCAGUACUGCCACUCGUGGUUUGGUAUUGAGCAGUAGUUUGUAAACCAGUUUCAUACGUAUAUUUUUUUUAUUUAAACUUUCCUGAAAUGUUGUCUUCUGCAUCAGGGAGAUGGCAGGAAUGAGAAUGACUGUCAGAGCCUUUCCUUCCCAGGUCCCAGCACAGUGCAGCACGUCGGAGACCCUGCGGCACGUCGGAGACCCUGCAGAAGGGCCUAUUCAGGUCGCUGGUGGACGCUCCCCUGCACUCAAGUCACCAAAUCCCACAGAGGGUUGGAGAAGAGGGGGCGGCUUUGCAGUGAGACAGACCUGCGUUCGAAUUCCAGCUUUGGUUCAAAUGACGAGCUGUGUGCCCUGGGGCAAGUCAUUUGUUUAGUUUUUGUUCAUCAACUUCCUCCUCUGUAAAAUGAGAAUGGACUUGAGUAAAAACAUGCCUGUGAAGUAUUUAGCAAAGAGCCGGCACAGGGUAAUCACUCACUGCAUAGUUACUACUGUCCUGGUCAUUGUCAUGACAAUUACCAGUCACUCUCUGUUUCCUUCCUGACUUUAGACGGCACAUCUAAAAGCCCCCACGACAACAUCUGACACAACGUAACGAGAUUGUAGCGCUGUCUAAGAAACAACCCUGCAAAGCAGCCACAAACUAGGCUCUCAUCCCGACGAUUUGAGCGCCCUGGUUACAUGGAAGUUUAAUUUCUUCCUGGCUAAAUCUAGAACGUGGGAAAUUCUGCAGAAAUAAAUGACCUAGUUUCUUGAACAGAAUAAACUGCAUGGGAAGAGGGGAAUGCAGGUGUGACAGGUGUAAAGAAAGCAGCCGGUGUGUGUAGGCCCUGGAUAAAACCUGAUUGAAACACAGUGACUGUAAGAAGGUCCCUCUCCCCACUUUUUUGAAAACCUCAAGAAAUUUGAGCAUAAGCCAAGUAUUAGUUUAAUUGUUAGAAAUCUUGUUAGAUAUAAUUGUAGAAGUGCAGUUAUGGGCUAAAUAUGUUUAUUUAUUAAAAAUACAUGAGGAAGUACUUUCAGGUAAAAUUGUAAUGCCUGGAAUUUGCUAGAAAAUCUCUGAGGAGAGAUCUGAGGGUGGGGAGAUGAAAGAAGCCAGGCAUGAGCCGGGGGAGGUACAGAGGCUGAGGCUGAACACCCUUCACUCUUCUUUCUACUCUCAUGUAAUGUGGAUGUUUCUAUAAUGAAGUAAGUAUAAAAGUCAACAAAACCUCCCACUAACCUAACUGUGUCCGGGUUUCCGAGGUUCCCGGUUUCAGCUCAGCUGCCUGUGUUCUGGGGAGGGACUCCUCUCCAGCUGAGGGAUCCGCGGGGACUGGCUCCCUCACACACACACAGCAGCACCUGCUGCCCGGGCACUCAGGCCUCUGCCUUACACCCUCUCUACCACGCUAGACACGCAGGACCCUGGGCCAGUGACCUAACCCCUCUGCACCUCGGAGCCUCCGUGUCAAACUGGGCUUGGGGAUAUCAAGCCUCUAGGCUUGUGUCUGCUGCAUAAGAAGCCCUCCAAAAGCAUUGCUCCACCCCUCUCUCGGGCUCUGUUCUCUCCUGGUCUAUCUAAACCUCAGAUGGCUACAGAAGCCCAGCACUCUGUGAGCCUGUCAGGGGAGCUGAUGGCCCCAGUGAUGCAGGCCUGGCAGUCUGGGGUGAGGAAGACAGCUCCAAGCCCAGUCACCUCUCCCUUCCUGUGCCUAUCUGUGAACUAGAGCUUCAAGCAGCUCCAAAUAAACUCGAGAGCUCCUGGCUAUGCAACAUUGAUAUCUUGGCCUCGAAGCGGGAAAUCUGAGCCAACUUAAUAUCUUCCUUGAAUAAUCUGCUAAUUUUGAUGCCAGGAGCACUUCACCAGCUGUCGAUAGCUCCAGUGAGAAAUGAACCAGAAGAGACACGUUUGACCUGCUGUGGAUUCAGAUCCAACCACACGUGUGGGACUUGGGAGACAGGCACGUGGGUGUGCACGUUGUCAGCAGGGGCUGGCUUCAGACUGAGGCUGAACACAUACAGGAGCCCAGACCAGGUGGCCUUGGCCCUUGUAGGCGAUGGUGAGAAUACUGAUUUGUAUUAAGAGGAAUGAAAGAUUUGGAGAGGAAGCAAUUCUGAUUUUCACCAUCAAAUGACAAGAACUGAUCUUCUGCCUUUAAGUAGUUAUAAUUAGGUCAUUGCAAAAUUAACAAAAUUAAUAAGCUUAUAUCUGGGAGACCUCUUAAGACAGCAGUGUCCAGCUGGGUAAUGGCACGGAUUAUGCCCACACAGCCUGGCCACUCUGUUGGGGGAGCAGCCCCCGCUGGAGCAGCCUAGGGAGAGGAUGCAGGCCUUCCCCAUCAGCUCAGCAGCUUAUGGCUCAGUGGGUUUAGAUGCUGGUAGUAAGCUCCUCACCCUCUUGCCCAAUGUCUACAAAGGGUUGUUUUGUUCAUGAUGUCCAGAGGUCUAGUUGCUCAUGACAGGUGGAUAAGUCCAGUGACUCCACUGGGGCCUGAGGCAGAAUUGUUGCGGCACCUCCUCGUUUCUCCCGUUCCCUCCCCUAUCCCAGGCAGGUCCUGGCUAAAGACGUCCUUGGCCAGCUGGGUGUCAGGGGUAGGAUCUUGCCCCUCAACUCCUGGCCACAGGGGGACUUUCUCCUUAUCUACAGCCCAGGCCAAUAGUCUCUUUCUCUGUCCUUAAGGGAUUUAGGGAAUAGCCGGUCCUCUCUCACCCUCGAAUGGAUCACAUGUUAUUGAUCUCAUGUGUCACCACCCAGGGUAGGUUUCUGUGGCCUGCAUCCAACUCCAGGCAGGCGCUGCUCCUCGUCUCCCAGGCACCACAGGCAUUUUCCUCCGUGUGCCCUCUCAGAGGCUGUGGUGGUGUGUGUGGAAAGAGCCUGCACCCCUUCUGUGUCAACUUCAUCACCAAUUAAGUAAAGCUUGGCAUCCUCAGAGGAAAGAUUUUAUUAUAAAUUCUUAACAUAUUUAGAAAUAUCAGCAUAAUCAUUAUAAUGCAUUAUUCAGUUAGUUAAAUGUGCUUUAAAAAAAAACAUGAAAUAUAUCUUCAUUGUACAGGCAUCUGUUGUUUCUUGCAAACGAUUAUCUGUCACUGAAUCAUCAAUUUUUUAUUUUAUUGUGUGUCUAAGGCUAUUUGUUCUAAUUAAGGCGCAUGCAUGGUGCCAAGCAGGCUUGCCUGACUGUGGAAGGGGCUCCAGUCCUGCUUUGUCUAACAGUCCUGAAUGUGCUGGAUGGGCAACCCCAGGA